CCUACGGGCGGCAGCAGUGAGGAAUAUUGGUCAAUGGACGAGAGUCUGAACCAGCCAAGCAGCGUGAAGGAGGACUGCCCUAUGGGUUGUAAACUUCUUUUAUAUGGGAAUAAAACAGGGUAUGCAUACCCUCUUGUAUGUACCAUAAGAAUAAGGAUCGGCUAACUCCGUGCCAGCAGCCGCGGUAAUACGGAGGAUCCGAGCGUUAUCCGGAUUUAUUGGGUUUAAAGGGAGCGUAGGUGGAUUGUUAAGUCAGUUGUGAAAGUUUGCGGCUCAACCGUAAAAUUGCAGUUGAAACUGGCAGUCGUGAGUACAGUAGAGGUGGGCGGAAUUCGUGGUGUAGCGGUGAAAUGCUUAGAUAUCACGAAGAACUCCGAUUGCGAAGGCAGCUCACUGGACUGCAACUGACACUGAUGCUCGAAAGUGUGGGUAUCAAACAGGAUUAGAUACCCGAGUAGUC
rnacentral:rRNA from 1 species